GAACUAAGGAAAAAGUGAAAAAAAAACGAGGCGAAUAACGAGUGAAAAUGUGUCGAAGAAUAAUCAAAAGAUAAUCUGCGAGCCAAGCUAUUAAAAUAAUUAUAAUAAUGUACACGAGUCCCACUUGAAUAAUAAAAAACAUCUUGUCAAGCGUCUGGAUCGGGGUAGUGAACCGAACUAUACAAAUACGUCAAUUGGCGGGCAAGUGAGUCAGAAAGUGUUUUCAGCGCCGGUCUGAAGUCCUCAUUAUGCAAUGGAUGGGAACUUGAACUGCGGGAGGAAGUGCUCCGAUUAUGUCCGGGAUGGGAUGCCAAUCACAAAAGCCCUUGCUUCUAUUCGUCGAGCACAUCUUGCGAUUGUGAAUCAUAUUUAAAAGUGAAAUACACUUAUCACUUGAGAUGUUUUUUU